rnacentral:rRNA from 1 species
CCUACGGGAGGCAGCAGUAGGGAAUAUUGCUCAAUGGGGGAAACCCUGAAGCAGCAACGCCGCGUGGAGGAUGAAGGUUUUCGGAUUGUAAACUCCUUUUGUUAGAGAAGAUAAUGACGGUAUCUAACGAAUAAGCACCGGCUAACUCCGUGCCAGCAGCCGAGGGAAUACGGAGGGUGCAAGCGUUACUCGGAAUCACUGGGCGUAAUGAGCGCGUAUGCGGGAUAGCAAGUCAGAUGUUAAAUCCUAUGGCUUAACCAUAGAACUGCAGUUGAAACUGUGAGUCUAGAGUAUGGGAGAGGUAGGUGGAAUGCGUGGUGUAGGGGUAAAAUCCGUAGAGAUCAAGAGGAAUACUCAUUGCGAAGGCGACCUGCUAGAACAAAACUGACGCUGAUGCGCGAAAGCGUGGGGAGCAAACAGGAUUAGAUACCCGUGUAGUC